UACGUAGGGGGGCAAGCGUUGUCCGGAUUUAUUGGGCGUAAAGAGCGUGUAGGCGGCUUUACAGGUCCGUUGUGAAAACUCGAGGCUCAACCUCGAGACGCCGGUGGAAACCGUAAAGCUAGAGUCCGGAAGAGGAGAGUGGAAUUCCUGGUGUAGCGGUGAAAUGCGCAGAUAUCAGGAGGAACACCGGUGGCGAAGGCGGAUCUCUGGGCCGAUACUGACGCUGAGGAGCGAAAGCGUGGGGAGCGAACAGG
rnacentral:rRNA from 1 species